GCCAGGCCGGCCUGCGCGAUGUAGGCGGCCAUCAGCCCGUUGGCGGCCUCGUCCUUGGGCAUGCCCAGCGUGCCCCCGCGGCCCUGGCACGACAGCUGCGCGUCCACGUAGCGCUUCUCCUCCUUCACCAGCAGGAGAAGACGGAUGUUAGUGGAACCUAUUGUGGCUGCUUUGCGGUAUCUGUGAAUCAAACCAUCGUGCUGUACGUCUUAACCUUCUCCAGGGAGGUAUGUCAUUAUUUUUCAAUGAGAUUGGGAGAAAGUGCAAGUUUUAAUACAUUUUUUUACAAACCCUUGGGCCCUCUGCGCCAUACCUGGUUCUCCAUUAGGGCCGGGGGGCCCUAUGUCACCAGAAUCUCCUUUUUCACCUGAAAAAGGCAAGCAAAGUCAAAAUCACCAAGUGGAGCUGGGACAUGUCACUCAAGUUCAGAAUUAUCAGGGUUAACAACGUUCUGUGUGUCGUGUCCUAGGAUCUUUCCCUGGAUAACAGUGUUGUUUCUUCCAUGGUAACAUCCUAGGAGUUUCCCCUGGACCCUCUUUUUGCUGUGAAUACAGAGAGUUGUAUUCUAUAGAUCUCUAAUUCUUCAGGCUCUCUCGAUGUGACAUGGGACACAGGCCUAUCACUAGAUUUUAGAGACUGCCAGACGAUCCUUCUUUAAAUCGACUCCAAAAACCCCAGAUGUCUCAUAGAACAAUUUGUAGGUUCAUGUCAUGAACCUUUAACCCCCUGGGUCAGUAACAACUAACCCUGACUCCUACCUGUGCCCUCAUGAUGGCAGGGAAACUCAGGGAGAACGUGUCAUGUGGGCACUGGGGUGGACCUGCGGAAAGUCUCACCACAAUGGAGUAGAGAGUCCUUCCUGGGCCCUCUCCAAGGGCACCAGGGCCCCCACCUGGCCUGUCACGCUGCCUCCUGGAGACAGGAUGUGCCAUGCAGCCCUCCUGCCCAACCUUGCCCCGCAGCUUAUAAAGGAAAGGCAGGGGGGGUCGCCUGGGUGGCUCAGUCGGUUAGGUGUCUGACUUCAGCUUAGGUUAUGAUCUCAUAGUCUGUGAGUUCAAGCCCCGCAUCGGGCUCUGUGCUGACAGCUCAGAGCCUGGAGCCUGCUUCGGAUUCUGUGUCCCCUCUCUCUCUCUGCCCCUGCUCCACUUGUGCUCUGUCUUGCUCUCUCAAAAAUAAAUGUUAAAAAAAAUGUUUUUUUAAAAAGGAAAGGGGUUGGACACCACCAUGGUGACCAAGCUUCCUAGCUACCCUAAAAUGAAUAAACUUUAAAAAAAUAAAAUAGAUAAAAUAAAUAUAAAACAAUAAAAUACACAACGAAUGUACAAAGGCGCGUGAGCACUCCUACAGUGCUUUCUCCUCCCUGAGAGCCUAAACAUCCAGCUGGCGCGGGCAGUGGAGGACCAGUGUCCCCUCCCUCUGUGCAGUCUCAGCACAUUCUGUCGGGGGGGGGAAGGAGGGAGAGCGCGCCAGGUCCGUCCAGACGACCCCUGUGACUCUCGCCAGCAUCAGGGCUCAGGAAUGACAGACAGGUCAGCCUGACGAGCACAUAAACUAAGCUGCACGAGGGGCUUGCUGGCAAGCUGUCCCGCGGUGAGACACAGACAUUUAUUCAGAGCACACGCUGUACGUGAAAAGCACACACACCCCUACUCAUGUGCCAACAUCCAUGGCGCUCUGCGCAGCACCUAACCAGGACCUAACGGGUGGAAACAGCCCGAAUCUCUGCCAACAGACACGUGAGUAAGUAAGAUGCGGUGUGGCCAUGAUUCAGCCUUAAAAAGGAAGGAAAUGCUGACCUAGCUACAACAUAGAGGAGCCUAGAACACGUUACACUCUGUGACAUAAGUCAGACACAGAUGACAAAUCUAGUAGGAUUCCAUUUACGUGAAUGACCUAGAACCUAGAGCACACAAAGUCACGGACCCUAAGAGUAGUGGUGACCACCGCUGAGGGAGGGGACCGGGGGACGCUGCCUCACGAUGACCGAGUUUCUCUCCGGGGCCAUGAGAACGUUUUGCAAACGGUGGUGAAGGUGGUACAUCACAAAGGUACUUCAUGCCACUGACUUGUACGCCUGAAAAUAGCUAACGUGCAGAUCUUAUACUAGGAAUGCUUUACCGCGAUUUUUCAGAGCCUUUGCAAAGCACACGUCUCUCUCUGUGCCACGCGUAUCUAUCUAUGUGCUCUUUACGUAAGGAGUGGGCCAUCCUGAACAGGUGCUCCCCGGAGCACCCGAGCUCCGCUGAGCUGGCCGCAGCGUCCGUCACACUCCUGGCCGAGAACCUGCCGGGGACGGGCUGAGGCCAGGGGAGGUGCGUGACCACCGAUCAGAACAAACCACCCGAACCCACUCGCAGCCCAAACCCCCGAGGCAGGUUACUGAGGCAGAAGAAACCCGGCACCAGAGUCGGGCAGACCACACGGACCCGCCCCCUGCGCCCCACCCUCACGUUGCCAAGCCCUGGUCGUCCCCAGCCUCGGCCGCCUCAUUAGCACCCUUGGGGGAGGUGGGGAGACCCCCAUGGCCUCGCUUACUGAGAGCACAGGGCACACCUGGGGCCCAGGGAGGGUUUGCUGACUGGGCGGCGAGAGAGACAGAGGGGCUGUAUGGCUCGAGGCCACAUCCUGACCUGCCCGCCCCUGCAGGGCCGUACGGUCAGAGGAGGUCUCGACGCGGACCCAGGCAAGUGCAGGCGUCUCGUCACUAGAGGGCUGCCCUCACUGGCUGUUGCCUUCCUGGGCCCCAUUCGCACCCAGAGACACCCCACAGUUUCAAAAAGUCACCAGAGCUGGAGAUGGACAGACAGCGUUUCCGGAACACCAUCUUUCCAUCAGUCAAACGGGGCUCCGGCGUCUCGUUAAACUGGUUACGGAAGUGGUAGUGACCGUCCUGCCAAGCACACCAGCCCCGGAUCCCCCUCCCUGGUGCCCUGUGCGCCCUCCGGGACUGGAGCCCUCGCCCCGCCCUGGUGGGCACACAGCCAGCAGGUGAGUCUGACCACCACUGCCCGCUGCAAACCCUGAGACCACAGCAUCGCGUAGAAAGCACACAGAAGCACAGCCGCCAGGCGGGCCUGGCCAGUCCGCAACCAUCCUCGAGCUCCCGCACCCUGAGCCCGGGAAGGAAUAGGGCAAGAAGUGUGUCGCAAAUACCUUUAGAACCAAUGGGACCAAUUUUUCCAUGGCGACCCACACUGCCCUUCUGUCCUUUGUCACCCAUGUCUCCUGUAGAAAACAACAAGAUCAAAGUUGGUUGGUGCGUAGGUAAUCCGGCAUGCCUCCUGUUCAACAUCGCACACGUACACACACACACGCACAAGAGGAGACGGAAAACGUACAUCUGUCCUCUUAGUCUCUUCAAGGUCACGUAUGUGACGGACCCUGGAAGGUUCUUCACAGGUGGCUGUUGAUACGUUUUCCAGAGGAAGACACACUGUGGAACGAAGGGGGCCCGCAGUGCAUCCCUAAUCCUGAACUCAGUCGAGACCCCUCCGGUUACGUCCAUGGACAAGGUUGUCUGUCCUCCGUCCCAGCCCGUCUUCCUGCACCUGGCCCCAGACCAAGUUGAGCAGACCACACUCCUGCAAAGGGGCACAUGGGUCACCCUCCACCGCCCGCUGGUGGGGGAGAAGGAAGGCAAGGAAGAGGGCGAGGAGGAUCCUGGGAAUGCUCGUAGGGUCACUAGUCUUCCAGCGAGGCCGGCUUGCACACCACCUGCAGUCCCAUCACCGGAGCUUGGGGGGGUCACCAGUGCUGCCCCUCACCUCCUCCAUACUUCCCAUCACCGCAGGCUGGCCCGGUGACUGGUCCUCACACCAUGACCCCAGUGACGUCCUCGUAACAGUCCCCAUGCGACCGUCCUCGCCGACCAGCUCACUAAGACCAAGAACGGCCCUCCUCACCCACUCACGGAACCGAUCACGUCAGCGGGGGGAUUUUCUCAACACUCAGACUUUCUCCCAGAAAGUGUCCUGAAACUGUCAGCAGCCAUACCUGCCUGUCCGCUGGUGAUCGCCACAGACCGCAAGCCAAGCCGGCCAGUGUCAAACAAACACGCAGAACAUUCGGUAGAAGAAACACAAGAUGGGCUUUAAUUUAAGAAUCUGAAACUACAUGAAACUCAGCAUAAGCAGCUCAGCAGGAGAGACGUGGUCGGAAGGACUGUGUGUGACGCAGAUGAGGCUUUGUCCUGCUGUCCUGACGCCCACCCUCUUCUUUAACCUGAGGACUUCCCAGCCAAGAGCUCUUAGUUUUGCGAUAUUCCCUAAGUUCAGGACAGCCAGAGGCUUCGGACGAGCUGCAGCUCAAACGGAAACACACCCGUCACAGAGCUGGCUGAGGCUCACACAGGAAGCACACUCAUGCCCGUUCUCUUACACGAGUGACUCACGACACAGAGGAGACGCAGAGGACCUGAGUGGCUCGUCCGGGUCAAGCGCCCGGGGUACGGCAGGGCCAGGACCGAGCUGUGACCGCAGAUCUGAGACCCCACGGGAGGCGGGGGACGCCACAGAAACCGAGGCCAGGCUGGCCCAGCCACCACAGAGGCGACUCAGGCCACAGGUCCUGCGGACUGCGUGCUGUGCCUGGUGCCAGGGACACGGGGCGACAGGACUGAGACCUGCGGGGAAGAUCUGGGGGCGAUCAGACACCUGUAACGGGUGUAAUAACCAGAGAGGGUGUGAGUAAGCCCUGAGAGGGGCCUAAACCCAUGGACCAGGGUGGAGGAAGGAUGGAGGGGGGUGGGAGUCAGGGAGGAGAGUGACAGGAUGCCAUUGGUGCUUGGCCCGCAAAGGGGCUGGAAGGGAGCGCAGACACAGGGUCGGGGGAGCAGGCCCCGGCGGGACGGUGUGGGAGUAGCAGUACCAAACGUCAUGGACAGCCCAUGUGAGGGGUGACAACGGCAGCAAGGGACCCUACCCCCCAGGGCACGCGGAGGUGGGGGGGGGGGGCAGGGAAAGGGCGCGGUCCCCUGGACCGCGCAGCUGGGGUGUGGGGCAAGGCUGGCCAUGACUCAGUGUGCCUCGAGGGCCCCCGGCCGGUGCGUCCGCGGUUACUGGCAACAGGCAGCCUGGUGAUGUCGCCCCGAGGGGACGGGCCCCGGGGACCCCACUGCAGGAGGGGGCCCGCAGGGUCAGAGCCCAGUGAGACAGGUGGGACGGGGCGAGAGCAUGAGGCCCGGGGUGGGUGGGGUGGGGGUCCCAGUGGGGCAGCAAUGAAGGGUGGGUGCGGAGACGGCGCCCCCUAGUGCGGGGCAGCCCCACUGCGCCAGCCUGGGGCACAGAGGUCCGUGUGCCGCUGAGCGCUAUCUGCGCUGCUCUGUCCCCAUCCUCGCCAGCCCUGCCUCCCGUCUUCAGCCAGACGACCCUGAGUCGCCCGGCCACACUCCGGUCACCAGGCCGGCCCAUCCUGCCGACGGGGUCCACGGGACAGGCUCGCCUUCAUCAACCCCAACCGCGAGCCGCCAGGGCAGCAAAGGAAGACGGCCAAGAACAGCGGUCAGCCGUGACAGCAGUCUGCUGGGACAUUCGGUAUCUCGUUCUCCAUCCUCACGGGGAAGGUCAGGCCCACUAAAUACCACACAAGCUCCGAACGGUGCUCCCACGAAGGCAGCGUCCAGAGCAGGACAUCUCGGUGGAGACCGCCCGACCGAACCCUGUCUCCAGAUGGGAAGGCAGAGGCCCAGAGAGACCAGGAGGCUUGCACCUGUGCUAACCCUGGGCCCCCGCUGAAUCCCCCAACACAGGGGCAGGGCCGCCAGAUCCCAGAGGAUGAUGGAGUGCGACUUCCUGUUCAAAAGCCGGAACACAACAGAGGAGACUGGGAGCCACAGUAGAGCACAGACUGGACGUGAGUGCGGCCCCAUCACGUGACUGAAGAGCCUGCUGGCCACUGGGAAGAUCCCACCCCGAAAUGUGGGAGGGGAUUCUCCCUGAGCCCUACCCCCGCCCCCCCUGCCCCGCACAGAGAAACUGAAAGAAACUGAAAACACCACCUGGCCCUCUGCCCCCAUCCAGACGGCUGGCCUCCCUCCCACACAGGGAAGGGGUGGGGAGAGCCAGAGGAGAGUGCCUGCCUGCAGGUGCGUGGCUGCUAAGUGUUUUCCCCACCUCCACAGAACGAUUAAUUACUGAUUGAUUUCAUCAGCGGAAAAUGCGCCCUGAGGGUCCCGCACACAUCCUGCCUUCUGAGUAACUUGAAACCCGGGAGUAACUUGAGAGCAUUUGGCUCUUGGCCCAGCUCCGAAUGGCACGGCCAACGUUAACGCUGAUUCAAGGUCGCUGCUGUCACGUGCACCCCGGCCCCUGCCCUUGGAGAAGUGUGGGACUGUGCCUUGGGGGCUCCGGGGAAAAUGGGUGCCAGGAGGGACAUUGCGCAGCUCACAGAGCAGGGUGACAGAGGUGGUCAUGGGGCCCUCGGCACGCUGGCACCCGGGUCUCAGGCAUCAGCCUCCGGAGCCGGGAGAGAAUAAUUAACAGCUGUUGUUUACACCCCCGGGCCCGUGGUAUUUGUCGCGGCAGCGCUAACAGUCCAGUACGCUUUCUCUGCCCCCAGCGAAACCGGGAUUCAGAGAGGCAAAGCCACCCACCUCGAGUCACACAGCGAGCUGGGCAGGCCUUUGUUCAGUGGCCUGGAGCACGGACCCAGCACAUGAGACCCCGAUCGCAGUCCUUUGCCCAUGCAAGCUGGGACAAGUUACGGUCCUCUCUGAGCCUCUGGGUCCUCUCUGUAAAGGGGACCCUGGGUCGCUGAGCACAUGGUAACGUACGUUCCGUUCAGACUGAGGUCUCCUUCUCCAGCCCACACCUCGGCUGAGGAGCAGGGGCCGGUCUUCCAGCACCAGAGAGGCUCCCCGUGGAGCCAGUCACACCCGGAAGGCUACACUGCCACGAGCGGGGCUGAAAGUAUGCUACGGACUUAUGGGAAGACAAACACCACCCCCCGCCCCGGGCUGCCUCGGCCGAGGCUGAGGACACCUGGCCAUGGGGACCCGGGGCCGCUGCCAGUUGGCCGCGCCUUACCUAUCGCCAGACUGUCCCUUUUGCCCUCAACAAUGUCCUCUUCCACCGGGCCCCCCUCCACAGGCCCUGAGACGUGGCAAAACCCGGUCGUGCCACACACCGCAACAACCUCACAGGAGGGCCGGUGUGGGGACAGGCCGGCCCUGGGGACCUCGAGGCCCGAGGUCAGAGACUCCACACCUCCAUGCACGGCUCCCACCCGCUGCACACCUGCUUUCACUGAGCAGAAUGAGCAGAGCCAUCCUUUGCCGGUGCUGGGCAAUGCACACGCAGACAUACGCACGACGUGCAUAUACGCAAGUGUGCAUGUAUGCGUGUGUGCACACGCGUGUGCACAUAUACACAUACGACACAUUCAUGCAAGCACGCACCCAUACGUGCCAACAUAAACGCAGGUGUAAACGCGUGUCCUUGUGUGCACACACAUACGUGCCAACAUACACAUGCCUAUUCCAACAUACGUACACACGUAGAAGCAUACGCACAACCCAUACACCCGUGUGUGUGCACAAGUGCACGAACACAAACGUAUCUUUUAUCCUCACACCUCUCGAAGUUGUGAAGCUGGUAAGCACCGGCUGGGCUUGAACCCAGACCACCAGGGCACCCAGGAGGCCCCCCGCACACUCGCCCCCUGCCACAGCCCCUGUGCACUGACCUAUCCCUGGGGUGGCUACCGUUCCCAAGAGGAACGUUCUGUGUCUUGGGUGUGUUGGAGACACAAAGGUAAGAACCAUUAAACUCCCCCGAGAUGGUCAGCACAUUCUCCAUAGCGAUCCCGGGCAGUUUGUGUAGCUGACUUGUUUUCACUCGCAGACGUUUCUUGGGCGGAGAAAUAGUGUGGUAAUAAGCCCGGAGGCUCUCACGGGAGCACCGAUGAGAACGAGAGCUCUUGGCCUUUUUGCCUGCUUCCGGGAAGGUUUUCUUGCCCUCCAAACGACAAGAAGCUUUUUGCAAAAAGCAAACAAAUUUCCCUGCCUCGGAUGUAGGAGGUGAUUGGAAAUGCACCAGACGCACUUGGAUCCCGUCCCCGUAAGUUUGAAGAGCUGGCGGAGGCUCCCCAGGGAGCCGGGAGCUGACGUGAUGUCCCUCCCUCGUCCCGUCCCACUAAUGAGAAGCGUACAAGAGCGUGUCUGUCCUCUAGACACACGGGAGGAACGAAGGAGAGGGAGCAGAGCACAGCAGGCACGUGAUUCUGAUUAAUUUUAAUGAAGAUCUCACACAGUCCUUUGAAGUGGAGACCGGGGAGAGAGGGCACUCGGAAUUCACUUCCUCAGCGAUUUUUAACGAAGGAUAAUGUGCACGUUGCAGAGCCCAGAAAGCCUGUCACCGACACAGGGUCACCCUCCGCCUUGGCGCACCAGGAGGGCCCUGGCUUCCAAGGGGAGCGGCCCGGGGGCCCCCCUAAUCUUGUCCUCCCAGCAGGGCGCCUUGAAAACGUGGAUGACACACUUGGCAGGCCGUGUCAGCAGAGCCAGCCCUGUACGGUUUCCACCUCGCUGUGCAGGCUAGAAAUGUGCAAAUUACGCUUAUUUCAGUAAAGGACAAAGGACAGCAGGAGGUUUCUGAAGCCCCUUCGGCUGGACUCUGUUAUUUCGGAAAAGGCAUCCAUCGGCUGGCGGGCACUUUCUCCUGUUUGAGUCCCCCUGGCAGGGGGGCCGCUCCGUGUGCCCACCCGAGCCCCUCCCCCCGCCCCAGCACGCAGCAAAUCCGCCAGAGGCCCCACGGGACGCGGUUGCACUUUACGGGAUCCGAGAUGAGCGGGGCACCCAGGUGAGGGCGAGCAGAUGUUCACGACCGACCUGCAGCGCAGACGCUGGGACGCUGUUCCACGCGGGAACAGCACCGCCUGGGCGCCUGCCGACGGGUGCCCGCGUCUCAGCCGCCUCCGGAACGGAAGCUGCACUGUAACGAGGGCCCGGCUGGUUCCCUUGUGCACCACGGUUUGAGAAGCAGCAGCGGAGCAGAGCCAGUGAGAAGAGCCCAGCUCUGCGUGGCCCGAUCCUUGGCCACAGACCCACAGACCCACGUCUGCACCCCUGGGGCCCUCGGCGCGGCGGACAGGGUCACCGCAGAUUUCAAAGAUAUUUGAAGAGGCUGAAUUUCAAACUAUUUUUCAAUUGAUCGAGGUCUUUCCAAGUGCCGGGUCUCGCGUGAGACCAAGAUGAAAGCAGGUGGGUCACGCCCACCACACACGGUGCGGACUUGCCGUUAAAGGCCAGUCACCAGCGGGGCCACUUCCGAAGGACGCCAGGAGAAAUGCCCCUCAGGCCUCGACGCCAGAGACAGUUUGCACGCGUAAGCAGCUCACGCGUUUUGCCAGAUGGAGUCCGAGUCCCAUGGUCUUCGGGACCUGCAAAGCCCUAAGAGUAGGCGGCAGCCUGGGGGGGCGGGAGGGCCCACGACGUCCCGGAGCCCGCAGGACCCCCUCUGCCUGCAGGUGCUCCAUGCUAUGGACACUCGCGCUGCUUCACAAAGAGAGGAAGUUUGAGAGUCGCUGACCUAAGUGGCUGUGUCAUCCUUUCUGGCGCUGAUGUGAGAACUGUGGAGCCGUCUUGGCGGGUCACCUGACCGAAUGCAGAGGACCUCACUGCGUGAAUUUCAUCCAGAUAACCUCAUCCGGGGGCUCCUGGGUGGUCCAGUCGGCUGAGCAUCCCACUCUUAACUUUGGCUCAGGUUACGAGCUCCCAGUUCGUGGGUUCGAGCCCUGCGUCGGGCUCUGCUCUGACAGCACGGAGCCUGCUUGGCAUCUGCUGACCCCCUCUCUGCCCCCCUUUUCUCUGCAGAUGCGUGCACUCUCUCUAAAAUAAAAAAAAUUUUUAUGUAACAAUCUCAUGUUAUCCAUACGUAUUUUGUGGUGUCCAAAAUUUUCUACCUUAGCUGAAACGUAAUAUGUUGUAUUUUAAACAUGCCAUGAAACAAAACAGAAUGGGGAGAAGGGGAGGGAGAGAGAUUAGCGGAUUAGCCCCGGAGGCAAAGGGCGAUCUAAGGGUCCCUCCCGCACUUCCAGCAGCAGCCCCGGGGGUGAGGGGCACUCUCUCCACUGUGGGCAGCAGCAGGCCCCCAUCAGCGGCUCCUAGCGAGCUGCCCAAGAUGUGAAGGAGGGGCUGAGCCCCAAAGGCAGCGUUGGGACCACAGAUCCAUCCAGUCCCGGGACUUCCCCAAAGGGAGGAAGCCCUGCUGUGGCGCACUUGUGGAAAAUGACUCGUCGGGGAAGGGACCCACCCUGCAGUGGUGAACAGAGAGGAGGGGAGGGACUCGCCCAGACACUGAGCCAGAAGGACAGGAGGCUUAGGGUGUCGUCAGCACUCACGAGACCCAAGGCUGUGGAGCCUCAGAUGAGAAAGUGGGUUGGAAAGUUGAGGGCAAGACUCUGCACGUGAGCCUCCUGGCAGCGGUUGGACCAGGUGCUGGAGAGAGGGUCUGGGGACCCUCAGCAGCCACCGUGAGGCAGGCGGACGACACGUGUGCAAGCGGGAGCACCCCGAGAAGGGCGGAGGACCCCACCCCUGAGGCCCGGAUGGCGCCCCACCUGGCACAGCCGGAUCACAGCUGAGGAAGCUGCAGGGCGGUGCUGUGGGCAAGAAGCCGGCGUCGGGGCAACCGGGUGAAAGCUCAGAACGGCAGCAUCGGUCACCAGUAAAGUGUGAUAGAGAUUUAAAAACUAAUAAACUUUUGAUACUUCUCAAGGAGUCCAGUAAUAUUUACACGGAAAAAAAUGAUUCCGAGAAAUGAAAAAAGGCGGCGGUCCCUUUGCCCACGCCCAGGUGGUGCCCGGACUGCUAAGAGCAGACACGUCCCGGACCCCCGGUUCCUGCAAUGCUCGCUGCUGUCCGCGUGUGUCUCCGCGGGAGAGAAGAGCCUUCUGGAAGCUACAGGUGUCGGAGACCGGGCACCAGGAAGAGUGUGGCCGAGCGGUGGCUGUGAGCCACCAAAACCCUCCCGGACAGGAGGGGAGGGUGGGAAAGAGGGUGGGAGGACCCUCAGGCCCUGAGCGGCUGCCACCCCGUGCUGCACAGAGGCCAGGGGGAGGGGGUCUGUGGAGGCCCCGGGAGCUGAGCUCAUCCUUCCUGGGAGCUUUGCUACAGGGGAGCCGGGCCUGGCACUUCCGAGGUCGCCCACAGCUCUCUCCACGUCCAUCGCAGACCGUGAGCGCACUGUCAGCACGCGGGGUGUCUGCAGGAGGCCAGAGACUACAAACCCUCACCCCAGGGACACCUGCUGUAGGUCCAGCCAUCUUUAUAAAACGUGCCAACAUCAAAAAUCAGCUCGUGGUCUUUGUCCAGAAUACCAAAAAUAUGGAAGGAACGAGGAAGGGGCGCCUGGGUGGCUCAGUCGGUUAAGCAUCUGACUUCAGCUCAGGUCAUGAUCUCGCAGUUUGUAGUUUCGAGCCUUGCGCUGGGCUCUGUGCUGACAGUAUGGA